rnacentral:misc_RNA from 1 species
GCGGUUGUGGAGGAGAGGAAUUUGGAGGAAGAGAAGAGGAGAGACGAGCGCCAUUUUGAGAAGGAAUGGACUCCCAAGUUGUAGGAGGAAGCCAUGGAUCUUCGCCUUCAGAUUGUCCAACAAGGAAGCAAAGUUGGCGUCCACUGCCAUUUUCGCUUUGAAUUGAUGUAGCACUACUUGCACUAGCAACUGUAGUUUCCUGC